ensembl:snRNA U6 U6 spliceosomal RNA
GUGCUCACUUUGGGAGAACACAGAGUAAAAUUGGAACUCUACAGAGAUUAGCAUGGUUCCUGCACAAGGAUGGCAUGCAAAUGUGUGAAGUAUUCCUUAUAUUU